CAAAACCACUCAAUGGACCUCUGCACAUAUGAGCAGACUCUAAGAAAAUUACCUCAUAGAGCUCAGUAAGAUGCAACUGAACAGGCCUGCUCUAAAGUUUGGCAUUACUUUAAAGAAGGCAUCGUCACCUGAUCAACAGAUGGGUCUGAACAUUUUGCGCUUUGUAGUUUCUUCUGUUGCCCUUGUCACAGCAUCUCCUGGUACUCUCCAGCAAUGCAAUAAGAGAUGCACAGGCACUUAGAGCUGAAGGAACCUGCCAUGCAUCUGGGAGGAGGAGGCCUGAGAAGGACCCCCGGGGGACACAGAGGACUCUGGGCAGCCUGUCACCGUCUCUGCAGAAACUUCCCUGCUGCCUCAGGGCCUGAAGGACGGACCAGAGUUUUCCACCCAGCACAUCCGAUGAAAUGGUACCUCCAGGCUCCAAGGAAAAGGUCAGUGGGCAGAGGUUACUCCCAGAGCUUAAAAGAUGACUCCUUCCUAGCCACCGGCUCCCACUGCUCCCAGGAGAGCACAUCAGGUCUGAUUUCUACAGCCACCAGAUCUCUCCCAGUUCUGCAGAGAACAGCAGUUAUUCAGACUCAGGUGGAACACGCACUUGUCCAAGCUCUGCAGGUUCAGACAUUCACGAAACUUAAUGUAAAUUAACUAAAUAUGUGAAAUGAAUGCACAUUAAUUAAAGCAUAUUAAGCCCUGCAUGGACAUUCAGGGAUAAAGCGAGCUUGCUUCGCUUUUGUUUAAUUGUCACCAUAGUGAACUAAGGCCAUUUUCCUUCUGUAUCAGAGCAUUCACAAAGAGGUUUAAUGCACUUCGACUUCUGUGCAUUAACUCACACCUCACACUAAUUUGUCUUAACUCCCCAUGUAAACAAGCCCUCAGAGGACUGAUUUUUUUCCUCUCUCAUGUGACAGUUCACUUUAUCACAAAGUGAAAUGUGUUGGAGAAAACUAUUUGCAGUGAAUUUUCCCUCAGUUGUGCCUGCAGUGACAUCUUUGUUGUGAAUCUCUGCCUAAGCUUUUCUGCUUUUUUUCCUCUUUAAAAAAGCUUAUAAUUAGUAAAACAGCAAUCUUCUACCAGACAGAAGGGGAACUGCUGGUCUGGUCUACAGGUGGGGUAUGGAGGUGAUACAAGGAGAUUAACUGCUGGGCUCUGGGUCAUAUGGAAUAUCUGCAGAUAAGCCCAGAAAUUGUCUAAAUUCAGGCCUCUUUGCCCCUGGAAAAGUCUUUUCUUCUCCCUUCAGUAGAUUUUUCCUCAUUAGAAAUAGUUUAUGAGCUUCUUCAAACCUCAGGAUCGUGCCAGUUGUGUGGGAAAGAAACAGAAAAACUACUGCCAUCUGCAUGGCUCCCAUGCAGGGACAAUCUUUCCCUCGCCCCCUUUUCCUCCAUCCCCCUUUUUACUUAAAAGCAGUAGGAGACCUUCACAUUAAGAUACUGAACCCAUCACAGUUAGAACAGACAAAGCCAGAGUGAGGAGGGAGGUGAUGGAGGCUGAGACAAUGUAUUUUUAGUCAUUUCAAUGAAUUAUGGAGACGUGAAGUUGAUAAUUUAUUGAAGAAGAGAAACGGGGGACUCUAUGUAAAUGUUUUCAGAUGAAUAAUUAAUGUUGCUUUCUAGCAUCAGGGGGUCUUUAAUUAAAGCCUCUGUUAAACAAGGCAAGGCAGACGGGCCCGGUUCCAUGCAGCAGCUAAUUGCACCUUUCCCAUGUACAGCUACGAUUCAGAAACGAAACAUCAUUUGCAUCAAUAACGAAGGACAAAUCCUACGUGGUAGGAGCGGUGGGAGGCUGUGGAGACCAGCUCAUUGACCCCAGGGCUGAGGGGGUUUGCAUGAUAUUUGAAAUUAGCUUGGCACAUGGGCCAAAUGAGGGGGUGUGGGGAAGUGAGGACAGAGGAGUGCUCUGGCCACAAGGCUUUGAGGAAAGCAGAAAGCCACUCACCACUGUCCAGGGAUUACUGCCUCUUUAAGAGGGACCGCCUGACAGGGUUAUCCAGGGUCUUACUGUCACUGUGUGACACAUUUGCCUUCCAAAAGCAAUGUCCCAUGCCAUGUCUGCCUCCCCAUCCCAUGGCAAGGGAUGGGUUCACAGCAGAGGGGAGCAGAGCAAUGAGGCAGCAUUCACAGCGUGGAGUGAAGAGGGAAACCUGUGCCUUCCCAUGCACAUCCCAUCCCAGCUAUGAUCCUCAUCCCCAGCAUCCUCCACAGGCACCGCUCCUACAGGAGAACAUCACUCCUGAACUUUCCCUUCCUCCAGGGAUUUCACAGCUGACAGGGAGAGGAUGGGACAAAGGUUCGCUGUGGAUUUCAGUCAGAACAGAGCAUUCCCUCCCUCUGAUGCCAUGUGAUGGUGAGACAAAAUAGAAGCCUUCUACCUUACAAGGGUUUGACCUCCCGGAAGGUCUAUGAUUACUUCCCAAGGGAAAGUAUAAAACCAUGAUAGCUUCAGUAAUUAGAGUGGGACAAUUAAGGAAUGACAGAAACUGCGCCAGUUAAUAUCACUGAGGGUCUUCCAGUAUAAUUCCAAAUUUGGCUUCUUUAAACCUCUGAGGAUGAGCAGCUAAGUUUCCAAAUGGGGGAUAAAACCUCAUUUUCUUGGA